ACAGCACUAUUGCCUCAGACUCAUUUUUAUGAGCAGGUUAAUGUGCAUUAAGUACACCACAGUUCUGUAAGUGGAAAAAGUAUUCAUAUUUAUGUGUUUUCUUACAGUUUAGGGCAAACGUUUCCCGCGCAAGUUUGAAUCUCUCUCAGUCAGUCAGGGGGAGAUUAACUGACUGACUGUCUACACGCCACCAAACAUUUAGUUUGAAUCUCUCUCAGUCAGGCAGGGGGAGAUUAACUGACAGACUGUAUAACGUUACAGGCCACCAAACAGUCCUACCAAGAAACCUUUAGUUUAGCACAAAUGUUUCCCGUGGAAGUUUGAAUCUCUCUCAGUCAGGGGGGAGAUUGACUGACAGACGGUCUACUUGCCACCCAAACAGUAAUUUACCCUGAAACCUUUUACAGUUUAGCGCAAACGUUUCCUGCGCAAGUUUGAAUCUCUCAGUCGGGGGAGAUUGACUGACUGACUGACUGACUGUCUACUCGCCACCAAACAGUCAGUUACACAGAGGUAACAAGUAAGGACUAACGUUAACUGACUGUCUGUAUGUCUGUCUGUCUGCUCUCAACCAAACGUCAUUUAAGACCUUUUAAAGUUUAGUGCAAACGUUUCCAGCGCAAGUUUGAAUCUCUCUCAGUCAGGGGGGAGAUUGACUGACAGACUGUCUACUCGCCACCAAACAGUAAUUUACCCUGAAACCUUUUACAGUUUAGCACAAACGUUUCCCGCGCAAGUUUGGAUCUUUACCAUUGAGGGUGGCUGACUGUUCUCGACCAACCAUCAUUCACACGCAAAAACUUUAAAGAUAAGUAUGAACGUGCCCAGAGCAGUUUUCGAUCUUUACCAUUAAGGAGGCUGACUGACUAUCGUCUACCACCCGUCAUUAACACAAGAAAAACUAAAGAAAUGUUACUCCAUAUGGACCUAUUCAUUUACUCAUUAUGCUGUGAGUACACCAGUUUUAUCAGGGAAAAAAUGUAUAUUUGUGUGUUUCUCACUGCUUGACAAGGACAGAUGUGGCCCUGUUAAAAAUGUUUAAAUGUCGUUUGGUUUAAGGAACAGC